rnacentral:lncRNA from 1 species
CGCGCGGGUGCUCCAAGGAGUCGGAGGAACGCGGCCGCGCGACGGGCCCCGGACGCCGAGGGUGGUGCUUCCUCCGAGCCUCCGGUGGUGAGGCCGCUCUCAGAAGGUCAUGGAAGCGCAGGGGAGAGCGAGGCGGCCGAGCCCAGGCAAAUCCUCGAGAAAGGCCGAGUGCGCGACGGCUCUGCGGGGAGGACCGCGCCUCCCCGAAUGCGGCCGCUGCUGCCGCUGCAAACAGUGCCUUGAGGAGAGGAAAGCGGGGAACCGUGUUUUCGCCGCCUCUGUAACCACUGCACACAAGAAAACCAGCUUCUGGGAGAGGGGGAUGAUUGUUGGGACUUUGCGAAUUACCUAAACAGCCCAGGGCCGAGGCGCCGCCGCUCGCGUCCUGGUCCUCCUGCCGGGUGUGGGGCUCCCCUGCCCGAGAUGGCCAGCGGGCGCGCCGAGAGUAUCCUGGAGCCAUCUAGUCUUGCCUCGGAGGCGGGGUGGGCUUAUUUGUGCGGAGAAGAAACGGAUCUCUUAAUGGGGUGAGAUUUUUCCUCCGUACAUUGUUCCCAUUUCCGCAGUUUCACUUGGCCUCGGUUUUCUAGCAGAGUAAUCACCAAAUGAAAUUAGCUGGAGAGCGUUUGAUGGCGCAGAAUCACGGUCUGAAGAUGUUUACGCUGUAUGCCGGACGCGUUUGAUGGUGUUCUCUUCGGCACAAUUAAUUUUGCAAAGUUCAGAAAUGUGCCAGACAGAGCCCCUGGCACGCAGUCAGGACUCUACAGACACACCUUGAGUAGGAAACAGGCUUGUUUGUUUCAUCUGUGAUUUAUGUGAUGCACCAGCACCAAGGCCAACGUGUUUUUUAAAGACCUUUCGAUGAAACUCCAAAGCAAUUUAUAAAUUGGCAAAAUGAAGCUUGUUUUGUAAAAUAACUCUUCCUUGUUGAUCAUGUAAUUAAAUGGGCAACAAAACACCUGAAAGGACAUUUACUGAAAAGUAGACUCCCAAAACAAAAAUAUGUAUUUCACAGCUAGAUACGGUCGCUAUUAGCGUCCUAAUGGCCAACUCCAUCCAUGUGCGUAUUUUGAACACUAAAAACGCCUCCUGUUACCCCUAAGACCUUGUUUGGAUAACAUUUUUCUAUUAUAAGUACUCGAAACCAACCCCAUUUAAGAUGUUUACCCUUAUUCUUGAGUCCUUGAUGGUUUGGGAAAUUUAUCAUUAUUCAUAUUGCACAAUCCUGUCACUGUCUUUUCCAUUAGGCACAGUGCCUAAGGUCCACAAUAUUUUUAGAGGCCCACAAAAAAUAUUUUAAUUUCUUUUCAAAUCAGAAGGAAAAAAAAUUUAGGUUUAAGAAAGUAUUUUAAUAUAUAUUAAUAUAUUUGUUUUUGUGCUAAUACAAUCUUAAAAUGUAUGUAUAUAUGUGUGUGUGUAUAUGUAUAUAUAUUUUAAUGGAGUAAGGGGCUCAACGAAGGCAAAAAGGCCUAGAGCCCAAGAAAAACAUGAUGUGGCCCUGUUGCCUGGGGUUGAAAAAUCCCAUUCCAUGAGAAGAAUUUAGUUUUAAGAAUAUUACAUAAAAUGCUCAUUUCUGUGGCCUUGCUAUAAUAGAAAGAUGGAGAUUCAGAGUAGUGAUAAUGGCUAACAUCCACCUGAUACACACCAUGUGUCCAUUACCUCUUAAUCCUCACAGCACACCUGUGAAAUAGGUACUAUUCUCACACUUAGGGGGUAAUGCAGGUUUUGUGGGGCCUGCAAUUUAUGCAAUUUGGGUGGUCCUCUUAAAGAAAAAGCAAAUACUGUGUAUUAGUCCGUUCUCACACUGCUAUAAAGAACUGCGCGAGACUGGGUAAUUUAUAAAGGAAAGAGGUUUAAUUGACUCACAGUUCCACAUGGCUGGGGAGACCUCAGGAAACUUAACAAUCGUGGUGGAAGGAGAAGCAAGUACCUUCUUCACAAGGAAGCGGAAAGAAUUGUGAGCGGAGGAACUUGCCAAACACAAAACCGUCAGAUCGCGUGAGAAUUCAGUUACUAUCACGAGAACAACACGGGAAAACUGUCCCCAUAAUCAAGUCAUUUCUCUCCCUAACAAGUGAGGAUUACAAUUCAAGAUGAGGUUUGGGUAGGAACACAAAGCCUGACCCUAUCCCACAGCAUGUCCAGGCUGCCCUAGCACCACCCAAUAGAAGGGAAAAUGGCAGAGGGAAAGUCCUAGUGGAAAGAGACCUCAGUCUCAGCUAAUUGUGGUGACAAUAUAUUGCUUUUGCAAAUUGUACAUAAACAUAUGACCAGGUGAAUGUAUCGCCAAGGCUCCUGCCAAGGCCUGGGAUGGAGGCCUAGAGAAGAUGCCCGAAAGUUUAUGCUGUGUGAGCUUCACAGAAGACCUGCCUUCCAUGUAUACCCAUUUUACAGGUGUCUGUGCGGUGCAGAAACUGUACAACUGUAUACAGUGACCAUUUCUACUCUGGGUCUCUAAACAAGGGCUGGUAUCGUUACAGAGACUGAAGACUGAGGAAGACCAUCUCUGUAGGAUGCCAAGGAUUGACUGGAGAAAGUCUGGGGUCCCUCUACCUGGGAUGUGAUUCAGUACCCAAUGGUGGAGCGGUCGUUGAGGAAUGAAGACACAUACAAAGGGUAAAGGAGCAGGUUGGAGAAGAAUGAAGUGCACAUCAACCAAACAGAAGAGAAGCAAUUUGGAGGAGGAAAAAAUCAGUUCUUCAUGAAAGGAUCACAUUGAUCUUGAUCAGGAAUUUAGGAGCAGCUUACCUAAUGGCACCUGGUUACCUAAUGGCACCCUCAACAGCUUACCUAAUGGCACCCUCACUUGGUUCUGGCUCCGGGCCUCUCACAAGAUUGUACACAUGAUGAUGGCCAAGUUUGCAGUCAUCUGAAGUCUUGACUGGAGCUGGAGACUACAUUUCCAAGAUGGCUCACUCAUAUUGCUAGUAAGUUGGUGGUGUCUGUUGGCAAGAAACCCCAAUUCCUGGUCAUAUGAAUCUUUCCAUAGGGCUGUGAUGAGAGUCCUCAUAACAGGGCAGCUGGUUUACCCCUAAGCAAAUAAUCCAAGAGAGAGAAACGCAGAAGCCACAAUGUCUUUUGUGACCCAACCUUGGGAGCCACAUACCAUCAUUUCUACAAUGUCCUGUUGCUUAUGCAUGUUGGCACUAUUCAUUGUGGGAAGAGACUACACAAGGACAUGGAUACCGGAAGGAAGCGACCACUGGGGUCAUCUUGGAGACUGGCUACCACAAGAUGUUUGACAGAUCUAGAAGUCUUGAACCAAAGGUCGUUUUGUCAAAUGCUCUUGUCAUUUUGAUAAUAAACUCAGUGUCUUAGAGGUGCUAACAAAAAGGUUAUAUGUACCCAGAAAUUGAAAGCGGCUGGAAUUCAACUUCUUGAGUGCCAUCAUGUUUUUUUCCUGCUACAUGGUUUAAUAAA